CCACGGCCUGAUAGAGAGGUGACACAGAACUUUUUAAGCUGCCAUCUUAUGUAUCGAUUCAUCAAAAUGGGUUCAUCAUCUCCCAACGAUUCUACUUGGCCUUCGUGUGAUGUACAAAUCAGACAUAAAAGCGUUAAGGUUCCCAGGAGAAUUUUUCUUAAAAAUCAAAUCUACAAGCACUAGCGAUGUAGUAGCUGAUUUUCGCAACGCCAUGAGAAAUAUUCAAUCUAUGCAAACUGCACACCACUCUGCAAAGUCAACAUUUGUUUCUAGAGACUUCUAGUCAACAACACACGUUUUUGUUCGAAACGACUCAAUCCGUCCUACUCUGACUCAUCCCUACGAUGUCCCGUAUUUCGUUUUAAAACGAUUCCCGAGGUUCUUCACAAUUGUAAUACGGGGUCGAAAAACAAAAGUCAGCAUCGAUCGUUUAAAGCCCCUUUUUCUGCCAGCGUCAGAAUCUUCUAGCUCAACCGAGCAAACAGCAACUAUACCUUUGACAAAUGAUCCCGUGCCUAGCACUUCAAACAUUUUUGAAGAAGCUUCUACUGCUGAUUCAACUUUCAGCUCUCCGAUUCCAGAUUGUUCUUCCGGUGCCACAUAUUCGUCUGAUACAUCACUCACUCAGUCACCUCAGUAUAUCAUCAAAGCUACAACUUGUGGAAGACGCAUCAAGCUCCCGGUAGCUCCCUUUUCUAGCGAGGGGAGUGAUGUGGCAACCUUCAAUCACAAUUUACUGGUUAUAGAAUUUUCUCCUUUUCCUGUCGGCAGCGCUGCAGUGCACACCAUAUUUCUCAUCUACGCAUUUCUAAAUUAAGUUUGUUAAUUUAAGUUUAAGGUUAAUUUAAUAAAAAUGUUUUAAUUCAAUGGUAAUUAAAAUCCGUGUUAGCCUUGUUUUAUUGGGUAAUAAAGUAAACGAAUAGAAAUACCCAAAUAUAUCUGGUGGCUCGUUUAUCAAUCGUGGCUCGAAUGGACCAAAUGUUACUAUUAGAGUGAAUCCGGCUCGAAACGAUCAAAUGUUAAUACGAUCCGAUAAAGGGGAGAAAAAAUAAUACAACACUAUCCCUUUAGUUUCUUACUCAAUUAAAUAUAUGAUUCUUUAUUAAGGUUCCAAUCAAUAGGUUACGAAAUUUUACCUCAAUAAUUACAAAGGAACGUGUAAUGUUACAAUAUUGAGCACGAACACUCAAUCAAUAACCAAAACGGAAUCAUCAAGACAGACUGAAGUUUUUGGACAUCACGGACUUAGGCACAAUGGAUAUUUCAACGGGGUUUGGUGUUGGAUGGACACAUCACAGGCAGGACUAAAUUUGCUGCCGUUCCAGUUGUCAGUUCACUUGACUUGGACUAAACCUUGCCUUGGAAACAAUUAAUUCCGCCAAGGAAUUCAGGAUAAAUUUUUGGCUGACCUCCACCGUUCAUACAAUCGGAGGGGUCAGAGAUGGUUUUAACGGUUGGUGUAAAUUUUGGCGUUGCCUAAACAAUAUACAAAAGGACACACAAACAUUUAAACACCAAUAAUAUAAUACAAUACAACACAAUACUCACUUUGACUUGUUCGCACAAACGCAUUCACACACAACAACAAAACACAUGUGUUAAUUAAACACAAAAACAAAAUUUAGUUUAAUUUUUUGGGAGAUUUUCUUCAAAUAUUUUUUAAUUAGCAAAUAAAAAUGUGUUCUUUGCUAAUACACCAAACAAACUGCCUCGAUUUUCCCCCGUUAUGCCUUUUAUAUGGCCGCAGACAUUUACAAUUUUCCGGGAUUCUCACGCAAUUUUCCUGAUUCAUCAAAUUCCUUUUAUCGUACAUACUGAGCCCUACAUUAGAGUUGUAUUUCUCGGGUUUAUAUUUUACACCGGUUGGCAACACUGAUUUCUUCAAACUCUGCACCGAGCUUAACAUAUCCGGUUCACUUUUUCCUGACCGGCUGCAACCAAACACAUCACAUCAGGGACUUGCUGCUAAUUAUUUGUUUUUAAUUAAAAUAAAAAACACAUGCAACAAACUGUGUUAGCCUUAUUUUAUUGGGUAACAACGUAAACGAAUAGAAAUAACCAAAUUUGUGACCCCGAGAAAAAAUUGCAAUCAGAAGAUGGAAAACAACGAUUUAUCAACAGCAUCGACUGUCGUCAUCCAAAAUGAAAAAGAUCCGCAAUCCUUGCGUAACAGCAUAGGCAGUAUCAGCCAUUUACAUUGCACGUUUGCCAUUUCAAGAAAUGUGAUAUACAAAUGUGGAAGCUUGGUUUAUUUCAAUGGAAUUUUGCUUUAGUACGUCGGGCAUAACCUAUGACAAGCAAAAGGCCGCUACAGUACUUGCUGCUUUAAAGCCAGAAACCAUUGCACAAUUGUCAGACAUCAUCGCAAAUAUGCCAGCAUCCGAUCGAUUCGAAUACGUCAAAUGAAAAAUUACCGACCAUUUUGCCGACAGCGAACAGAGACGUCCAAACCGGCUUUUGCCCGAAAUGCCUUUGGGCGACAAAAAAAAACCUUCCGAGCUCUUCUUUGAGAGCAGGUAACUCAAGUGGAAAAGCUGCACUUAAAGGUUUGUGGACGAAACGAUUCCCAACAUUUGCACAACCUGUUGUAGCAGCGUCAACGGGCACAAUAGUGGAAUUAACCAAAAAGUAGACUCAACUGCAGACGCUGUCUCUCCAACAUAGGUAUGUAAGGUCACAAAAGACGAGGACAGCCGCAUAAACGAACGAACUAAAAUUCGAGCAAUUUACUACGUGGUCCUGUUCUCGACCUCGCAAGCUAACUCAUCAUCGUUCCCAGUCCCGGCGAAAGCCAUCCGAUGGAAAUAACAAUUCCAAUAUUGAUGAGUGUUGGUACCACAAGAAGUAUGGGUGCAAUGCCACAAAGUGUCGCAGUCCGUGCAAACAGAAGCAGCGACAGGUGUUCGCUGUUGCGUCGCACCCAUCAAAUUGACCUUGUUGGCCGGUGGUGGGUUACAGCGAAAAAUCCUCCACCAAAUGUCAAUUUUUUCGCCUCCAAGUUACUGACAGCUGGACUCGAAGAAAUUUUCUGGUUGACAAUGAUGCCGACGUCUCCGUCAUUCCUCUUUCUUUGAAAGUAUAUCACCGAUUAGAGUGGUAGGUGAAACACGUUUAAAGCUGGACCUUGGUUUAAAACAAAAUAUAUUUAUAAUUGCGGGUGUAAACACGCCGAUAAUUGUUUCGGAUUUCAUUAAGCAUCAUGAUCUGCAGAUUGAUUUGCGUCGUAACCGAUUAAUAGACAACAUCACUGGUAACGAUUCUCAGCUACAACUACCGUCGACUUCAACGAUUGUCUGCCUUAAAACGUUGCGCACGAAUAACCCGUUUGCGGAUCUUUUAGAGGGAUUUCAGGACAUAACAUUACGGUUCCAAAACGAAAUCAACCAUUUUUAUGCGAAUUGAAACGACUGGCCGGCCAACAUUUUGUCGUCCUCGAAGAUUGCUAGUUGAAAAACAUGUAGCUGCAAAAAAAGAAUCCAAUUUCCUUGCCGAAGCUGGAAUUGGUCAGUCGUCCAAAGCGUCUGGAGUAGUCGGCUAUGGUAAGAAAAAGUGAUGGAACAUGGAAACCAUGUGGUGACUAUUAUGCCCUUAAUGCUUAAACUUUACCAGACCAGUACCCCCUUCCAUAUUUGGCCGAUUUCACCAACAAUUUAAGUAGCCAGAAAAUAUUUUCGAAAAUCGAUCUGCAAAAAACAUUUCAUAAAAUUUCGAUUCGCCCGAUGACGUUUUCAGAGAUGUUGAUUGUGUUUUCCGUACGUUGAUGAUAUUUUCGUUUCAUCUGCCUAUUUGGAGCAACAUUGUCGUGAUCUCCGAUUUGUAUUUCAGUGCUUUCGAGACAAUCAGCUAGCUACUAACGUCAAAAAAUGUGAGUUUGGUAAGCCUGAAAUUACAUUUCCUGGUCACCCCGUCACACCCAACGGAAUUCGUCAUUCUCCCGAAAAGGUUGCAGUGCUAAAAGGCUAUCCGAAGCCGCUCAACUCACAAGAACUUAAAAGAUUCAUUGGUAUGAUGAACUUUUACAGAAAGUUUUUGCCGCACACCAUCGCGUACCAAGAAGUUUUGCAAGACAUGAUUACAGGUAAUAAAACGAAGUACAAAACACCAUUAGUGUGGUCUUCAAAUACCGAGAGUGCUUUUGAACGUUGUAAAACUGAGUUGUGCAACGUUACAUUGCUUGCUCAUUCUGUUCCCGGCGCGGGCAACAUGUCACUAUUAGCUUUCUCUUCAAAAAAGUUAACAGUAGAAGUAUUCGACGUACGACAGAGAGUUAACCGCCAUCUACCAAGCCGUCUGCCAUUUUCGUUAUCAAAUUGAAGGACGCCCUUGCUACAUUGUAACAAAUAUUCGCCUAUCAACAAAAAAAUGGAAAAAGCAUCACCAAGCAGACUAAGGCAACUUGAUUUCAUUAGUCAGUUUACCACUGACAUACGUCACAUACCUGACAAAGACAACUCAACAGCUGAUGCCCUGUCAAAAAUUCAAGCUGUGCAUACCGAUUCCGUGCAAGCGAUCGUAAAUUUUAAGGAUCUCGUAGAAGAAUAACAACAUCACAGCGAACUGCAGGAUAUUUUAAAACCACAAGGUACGUCUAAUAAUUCACUAGUACUAAAGUAUUUGGAUAUAUUAGGCUGUGAUGAACAAAUUGUGUGUGAUACGUCCACGUCACGAAUACGGCCAUACAUCACAAAAGUUUUUCAAAAGCAAAUAAUAAACUCGUUACACAACCCAGUUCAUCCUGGAAUACGUGCUACGAUACUAUUAGUAACGUGAAGGUUUGUUUGAGUUGGUAUGAAAGAGGAUAUUGCAAACUUCCUCAAAACAUGCCUCCCAUGCCAGCGAGCGAAAAUACAGCGACACUCAGUAUCAACGCCUGACAAGUACGACCCGCCGACCGAGAGAUUUUCACACAUCAACAUCGAUAUCGUUGGGCCUUUUCCAUUUUGUGAAGGGCAGCGGUAUUGUUUGACAAUAAUCAACAGGUUUACUCGAUGGCCUGAAGCCGUGCCAUUACCCGACAUGUAUGCUGAACUGGUAGUCAGAGGACUGGUUACGCACUGGAUUUCCAGAUUUGGAGUGCUACAGCGAAUCACAUCCGACAGAGGUCGACAGUUCCAGUUAUCAGUUUUUACGGAAUUAUUGCAAAUGAUUGGAGCUACACACUUAAAGACAACGCCGUACCACCCUCAAGCCCACGGCCUGAUAGAGAGGUGACACAGAACUUUUUAAGCUGCCAUCUUAUGUAUCGAUUCAUCAAAAUGGGUUCAUCAUCUCCCAACGAUUCUACUUGGCCUUCGUGUGAUGUACAAAUCAGACAUAAAAGCGUUAAGGUUCCCAGGAGAAUUUUUCUUAAAAAUCAAAUCUACAAGCACUAGCGAUGUAGUAGCUGAUUUUCGCAACGCCAUGAGAAAUAUUCAAUCUAUGCAAACUGCACACCACUCUGCAAAGUCAACAUUUGUUUCUAGAGACUUCUAGUCAACAACACACGUUUUUGUUCGAAACGACUCAAUCCGUCCUACUCUGACUCAUCCCUACGAUGUCCCGUAUUUCGUUUUAAAACGAUUCCCGAGGUUCUUCACAAUUGUAAUACGGGGUCGAAAAACAAAAGUCAGCAUCGAUCGUUUAAAGCCCCUUUUUCUGCCAGCGUCAGAAUCUUCUAGCUCAACCGAGCAAACAGCAACUAUACCUUUGACAAAUGAUCCCGUGCCUAGCACUUCAAACAUUUUUGAAGAAGCUUCUACUGCUGAUUCAACUUUCAGCUCUCCGAUUCCAGAUUGUUCUUCCGGUGCCACAUAUUCGUCUGAUACAUCACUCACUCAGUCACCUCAGUAUAUCAUCAAAGCUACAACUUGUGGAAGACGCAUCAAGCUCCCGGUAGCUCCCUUUUCUAGCGAGGGGAGUGAUGUGGCAACCUUCAAUCACAAUUUACUGGUUAUAGAAUUUUCUCCUUUUCCUGUCGGCAGCGCUGCAGUGCACACCAUAUUUCUCAUCUACGCAUUUCUAAAUUAAGUUUGUUAAUUUAAGUUUAAGGUUAAUUUAAUAAAAAUGUUUUAAUUCAAUGGUAAUUAAAAUCCGUGUUAGCCUUGUUUUAUUGGGUAAUAAAGUAAACGAAUAGAAAUACCCAAAUAUAUCUGGUGGCUCGUUUAUCAAUCGUGGCUCGAAUGGACCAAAUGUUACUAUUAGAGUGAAUCCGGCUCGAAACGAUCAAAUGUUAAUACGAUCCGAUAAAGGGGAGAAAAAAUAAUACAACACUAUCCCUUUAGUUUCUUACUCAAUUAAAUAUAUGAUUCUUUAUUAAGGUUCCAAUCAAUAGGUUACGAAAUUUUACCUCAAUAAUUACAAAGGAACGUGUAAUGUUACAAUAUUGAGCACGAACACUCAAUCAAUAACCAAAACGGAAUCAUCAAGACAGACUGAAGUUUUUGGACAUCACGGACUUAGGCACAAUGGAUAUUUCAACGGGGUUUGGUGUUGGAUGGACACAUCACAGGCAGGACUAAAUUUGCUGCCGUUCCAGUUGUCAGUUCACUUGACUUGGACUAAACCUUGCCUUGGAAACAAUUAAUUCCGCCAAGGAAUUCAGGAUAAAUUUUUGGCUGACCUCCACCGUUCAUAGAAUCGGAGGGGUCAGAGAUGGUUUUAACGGUUGGUGUAAAUUUUGGCGUUGCCUAAACAAUAUA